rnacentral:rRNA from 1 species
AGUGAACGCUGGCGGUAGGCCUAACACAUGCAAGUCGAACGGCAGCACAGUAAGAGCUUGCUCGUACGGGUGGCGAGUGGCGGACGGGUGAGGAAUACAUCGGAAUCUACUUUUUCGUGGGGGAUAACGUAGGGAAACUUACGCUAAUACCGCAUACGACCUACGGGUGAAAGCAGGGGAUCUUCGGACCUUGCGCGAUUGAAUGAGCCGAUGUCGGAUUAGCUAGUUGGCGGGGUAAAGGCCCACCAAGGCGACGAUCCGUAGCUGGUCUGAGAGGAUGAUCAGCCACACUGGAAGUGAGACACGGUCCAGACUCCUACGGGAGGCAGCAGUGGGGAAUAUUGGACAAUGGGCGGAAGCCUGCUCCAGCCAUACCGCGUGGGUGAAGAAGGCCUUCGGGUUGUAAAGCCCUUUUGUUGGGAAAGAAAAGCAGCAGGUUAAUACCCCGCUGUUCUGACGGUACCCAAAGAAUAAGCACCGGCUAACUUCGUG